CCUUUCUAGGCAAAUUCCUACAUUCCUGCAGAUCAAGAUGCAUUUCUUUCUCUUUUCCCUUCCCUCCACAGCAGCUGACCUUUCCUUGAGGGGCAGCUGGGGACAGAUCUGGAAGGUUGGUACCAUUCUGGGCCAGCCACGUGCAAAAAUAACUCCCAGGUGUUUUGGAAGCAGUCACUUCUUCCGGGUUUCCUGGAUAUUGAGGAAGCUGCUGCUCUUCUGGCCAGAGGUCUCCAUGGAAUUCCUCCUUCUGAGACAUGAGGGCCAAUUAAUACUUCUGAUUUCCUCAAACCUGUGUUGACUCCAGUGGCUCUGGCACAGCACGAAUCCACUGGCAAUGCUCUCCUCUAUUCAGCAUUGUCCAGGCAGCAGGACAUAUUCUUGGCCUGAGGAAUCAGCCAGAAUUGCUUAAACCAGAAUCCUUCUGAGGCUUCACCCCUGACAGCCUCAGCAUUAGGCAUGAAGACCAGAAAUGAAAGGUACUCAGACUUCAAAUUCUUGGGUUUUGUCAUUUUCAAGACCUGUGUCUGCCAUUAUCGAUGAUUUCUAUCAAUACCAGGCUACCAAAAGCAAUUUUGGAAGAUGGAUACAAAGGGGAUGUAGUGCAGAUUAAAACUGAAAGCUCCAAGUUAUUCCCUGGGAUUCCUGUAGUAAAAGGAAACCAAUGGUAUGGAAAGGAAUAGAGCAAAAGGAGAUGCUGGUAAUUUCUAUAUGUCACAUUCCAG
rnacentral:lncRNA from 1 species